rnacentral:rRNA from 2 species
GCUGGUGAUUUUCGCGCAGGUGAUACACGCGAUCCCAUUUCGAACUCGACGGUGAAACCCUGCAGCGCCGAUGGUACUGUGUCUUAAGGCACGGGAGAGUAGGUCAUUGCCAGUU